rnacentral:misc_RNA from 1 species
UCUCGAUCGGUCAGUGGUGGGAUUUCCUAUUGCGUUUCAAGCGGGUGGAAAGUCCAGGGGAAAAUGUUUAUACCCGACUGUGGAAUGGCUUCAAAACAAACGAUUCUCAGGCAAAGAUUAUCCAGAUUCGAUGACGUUGUGUACUGGACACUGGAAUGAAGCUAUGUGGAGGGCUGGUGCCGCAUCUGACUGGCGCCAUUGUCCUGCUGUUGCUCAACUUCGGCAAGGUUGUUCAGGCUCACUGCUCAAACAAAACAUUUUACUACAAGCUGCCCAACAGCCACAAUGAUUGCGGGUUGUGCCGUAUCUGCCCCAGGGAAGUGGUGGACAGUCACCAGCUGUAUGAAAAACAUCUACAAGAAGAGUGUCAGCACCUCCCUGCCCUCCCUGAUGGUAGACUGCCACACUGUCACAGCACAUCCUUUGACAAACCAUCCUGUGAGAAGUGGGCCCCUCAUAACGGACGAGCUGUGUGCAGCAAUGGAAACACCGUCUACAGCACCUGCUUUCUCCAGUGUAAUGUGGGCUACAGACCAUCAAAUUCCACCAACAUCACCUGCACCGACCGACCACAGCCUAAGUGGGACCGUCACUUCACACACUGUACAGGUGGAGGCACAGGACUGGACACAGUAGCCGUUGUUUUCAUAGUGAUCGUCAUUGUGGCUGCAGCCGUCCUUGGUGUGGUUGUUAUUUUCAUCUGUGUCAAAAAGAAAUCGUCUACUGAUGCAGACAUCGACAUAGAGGAACAAGUAGCUCCACCAGCAGUGAGGAAUGUCAGAAUCACGCUGGCUAAUGCAACUCAGAGAUGUUACAAGCUACACAAGUGGUCUGCUAAGAGAGGCAGCACAGUGACAGUCAUGGCAUACAGUAAAGGAUGUGGGAUCCAAUAUCUUGUCCUGCUCAAGCGGGAGUCGAAAACCGGAGAUCCGGCAGUGUAUUCCAGCAAGCCUAAUGGCCCCAGCCAAGUGGACCUAGUGAGUCUUGACUACUCUCACCAGGGGUCCUACAACUGGAUCGUCCAACUGACCGAUGGGACAACAGAAAGAGGACACUUCAAGCUGGUUGUCAAGAAACACAUGUUCCCUGUGCGCUCGAUCUAUGCAGGUUUAUGUCCAUCAGGAAACAUUCCAGUUGCAGUUCAGUGCUCUGCCGGACAGCCAUCUACAUCCCCUAAGUGUGAGGCUGAUAACAUCCUGUCUCACACUCAGCCAGCAGUCGAGGAAAACAGUCUACAAGCUGUUCCAGACACCUCCCUUGUCUUGGUUACCACGGCAACAGAGGAUCUGGAGCAAAUGCCGGAACCGCAGCCUGUCAGAGACAAGAUGGAAGGUUACUCUCGACUGAUGCAGACCCGACAAGAUGUCCGCACCCUGUGUCGUCUCCUGGACAGAGAGGAGCAGGAUGGACAUGUGUCCUGGCACGUCAUCGUCACGUCGCCGCUGCUGGGAUACGACAGGGACUUUCUCUCCUUCCUAGAGUACCACCGGAAAGGCAGGAUGUAUGACGGGCCGAUGUGUCAUGUCCUGAAUCUUAUGAAACAGAACGGCACCACGGUGGAGGAGCUGAUCGAACUUCUGCAGCAGUAUCAGCCUUCAUCCAACAAAGCGAUUGCAGUCUUGGAGAAGUACUUGUGAAGAGUCCUGUAGUUCACUAUGUGCCUGUCACUGGAACACACUAGAUCUUGUCGUCAUCAGUGAACUUAUCGUAUAGAUAAUAGUGUCGCGUGUUCAGGGUGUUCCUCCAUCUCUCUGUAGAACUACCAAAUUGUCACAGACUUGUGGCCAUCUUCGAGUUCUUGCCCACCCCCAAGUUUGGCUGUUUGAGAAAAAUUACUCUCUUACAGCUAAAGCAUCCCCGCAAUUUACGUAACAUCACUGUGACCAGUGACAUCGUUAUUAAGUAUUAAAUUUAUGUGAAAUAACAAAAGAUCAUCAUGUCAUUAAAUCUUACUAAGUAUUCUUGGACAUGGUGUCAGAGACAUGUUUGUAAUGUAAUGAUUGUUACUGAUGCUUGCUGGUUUACAUGGCAGAUAUGAUGGGUCCAGAAUAUAUUUAAGACGGAAAGUAUGACAUUGGUGGGUAAUACAUACCCCACACCCAUAUUUGAAUCACAUAAACCCCUAUGCCUGUAACACAUCCCAUGGGGAUUCCAGGUUAGGGUAGGGCCACAGGGAGCUAUCUCCACAACACAUCCCAUGGGGAUUCCAGGUUAGGGUUGGGCCACAGGGAGCUAUCUCCACAACACACCCCAUGGGGAUUCCAGGUUAGGGUAGGGCCACAGGGAGCUACCUCCACAACACACCCCAUGGGGAUUCCAGGUUAGGGUAGGGCCACAGGGAGCUAUCUCCACAACACACCCCAUGGGGAUUCCAGGUUAGGGUAGGGCCACAGGGAGCUAUCUCCACAACACACCCCAUGGGGAUUCCAGGUUAGGGUAGGGCCACAGGGAGCUAUCUCCACAACACACCCGACGGCUAUUCCAGGUUAGGGUAGGGCCAAAGGGAGCUACCUCUACAACACACCCCAUGGGGAUUCCAGGUUAGGGUAGGGCCACAGGGAGCUACCUCCAAAACACACCCUAUGGGGAUUCCAGGUUAGGGUAGGGCCACAGGGAGCUAUCUCCACAACACAGCCCAUGGGUAUUCCAGGUUAGGGUAGGGCCACAGGGAGCUACCUCCAAAACACACCCUAUGGGGAUUCCAGGUUAGGGUUGGGCCACAGGGAGCUACCUCCACAACACACCCCAUGGGGAUUCCAGGUUAGGGUAGGGCCACAGGGAGCUACCUCCACAACACACCCCAUGGGGAUUCCAGGUUAGGGUAGGGCCACAGGGAGCUACCUCCACAACACACCCCAUGGGGAUUCCAGGUUAGGGUAGGGCCACAGGGAGCUACCUCCAAAACACACCCUAUGGGGAUUCCAGGUUAGGGUAGGGCCACAGGGAGCUAUCUCCACAACACAGCCCAUGGGUAUUCCAGGUUAGGGUAGGGCCACAGGGAGCUACCUCCAAAACACACCCUAUGGGGAUUCCAGGUUAGGGUUGGGCCACAGGGAGCUACCUCCACAACACACCCCAUGGGGAUUCCAGGUUAGGGUAGGGCCACAGGGAGCUACCUCCACAACACACCCCAUGGGGAUUCCAGGUUAGGGUAGGGCCACAGGGAGCUACCUCCACAACACACCCCAUGGGGAUUCCAGGUUAGGGUAGGGCCACAGGGAGCUACCUCCAAAACACACCCUAUGGGGAUUCCAGGUUAGGGUAGGGCCACAGGGAGCUAUCUCCACAACACAGCCCAUGGGUAUUCCAGGUUAGGGUAGGGCCACAGGGAGCUACCUCCAAAACACACCCUAUGGGGAUUCCAGGUUAGGGUUGGGCCACAGGGAGCUACCUCCACAACACACCCCAUGGGUAUUCCAGGUUAGGGUAGGGCCACAGGGAGCUACCUCCACAACACAUCCCAUGGGGAUUCCAGGUUAGGGUAGGGCCACAGGGAGCUAUGCUGGUCUUUAGCAACGACUGAAUUGAUUGGGUGGUCAGACUCGGUGACUUUGUUCAUUGUGUGUCAUUGUACCUGAACAUGGAUCAGUGCUCACAAUAUCGAUCACUGGAUUGCCUGAUCCAGACCCGAUUAUAUACAGGCGGCUGUCAUACAGCUUCAGUACUUGGAGACCAGGACCUGAUCAAACUAGGGCAUUCCUGGAGAAAGGAUUAUGCUGUAUAUAGUUAUCUAUUACCCAUUGUUUGUCAUUAUUGUAACUGUGCUUUUGUCAUGUAUCUGAAUUCAUAAAUAGUUUUAGCGACUGAUGUAUCCUAUUUUGGGUACAUGACAAUAUAACAAACCACUUGUCAAGAAGGACAGGGAGCUCUUGAAGAAAUAUCUUUGCAUAUUAUGGUAUAAAGGAAAAAAACAAUACAAAUUUCUUUCAUUUUUAAACUCCAAUACAUUGCUAACAAAACAUUUAAAAUUCAGAAAUUUACAAUUGUGUGAACCAAAUUUGAAUAAUUUGAAUUUUGAUAUCUUUUAUAUCUUAAAGAAGCUUAUGAGGUUUUUAUUAAUUAAACACUUUUUAGCCAUAUAUGUAUUUGGACAAAUGAAAAUAACUUGUGUAAUAUGCUUCUAACUAUAUCCAGUGUCAUUAUAAUCAAGGUAUCAAAUCAGUAUUUUAAGCUAAGCACAGAUGCACAGUUACUUUUUCCAUUUGAACAAGUGACUCUACAGUCUUUU